UACGAAGGGGACUAGCGUUGCUCGGAAUUACUGGGCGUAAAGGGCGCGUAGGCGGCACUGUUAGUCAGGCGUGAAAGUCCUGGGCUCAACCUGGGAACUGCGCUUGAUACGGCAGAGCUAGAGGAUGGAAGAGGGUCGCGGAAUUCCCAGUGUAGAGGUGAAAUUCGUAGAUAUUGGGAAGAACACCGGUGGCGAAGGCGGCGACCUGGUCCAUUACUGACGCUGAGGCGCGACAGCGUGGGGAGCAAACAGG
rnacentral:rRNA from 1 species